AGGGGUAUAGCUCAGUUGGUAGAGCAUCGGUCUCCAAAACCGAGUGUCGGGGGUUCGAGUCCCUCUACCCCUGCCA
rnacentral:tRNA from 1 species